rnacentral:rRNA from 1 species
UACGUAGGGUGCAAGCGUUGUCCGGAAUUAUUGGGCGUAAAGAGCUUGUAGGCGGUUUGUCGCGUCUGCUGUGAAAACCCGGGGCUUAACCCUGGGCUUGCAGUGGAUACGGGCAGACUAGAGGCAGGUAGGGGAGAAUGGAAUUCCCGGUGUAGCGGUGAAAUGCGCAGAUAUCGGGAGGAACACCGGUGGCGAAGGCGGUUCUCUGGGCCUGACCUGACGCUGAGGAGCGAAAGCGUGGGGAGCGAACAGG